rnacentral:rRNA from 1 species
CGGGAGGCAGCAGUGGGGAAUAUUGGACAAUGGGUGCAAGCCUGAUCCAGCAAUGCCGCGUGGGUGAAGAAGGUUUUCGGAUUGUAAAGCCCUUUUGGCGGGGACGAUGAUGACGGUACCUGCAGAAUAAGCCCCGGCUAACUUCGUGCCAGCAGCCGCGGUAAUACGAAGGGGGCUAGCGUUGCUCGGAAUGACUGGGCGUAAAGGGCGCGUAGGCGGCGAUCAAAGUCAGGCGUGAAAUUCCUGGGCUCAACCUGGGGGCUGCGCUUGAUACUUGGUUGCUUGAGUGGGGAAGAGGGUCGUGGAAUUCCCAGUGUAGAGGUGAAAUUCGUAGAUAUUGGGAAGAACACCGGUGGCGAAGGCGGCGACCUGGUCCUUGACUGACGCUGAGGCGCGAAAGCGUGGGGAGCAAACAGGAUUAGAUACCCUGGUAGUCCACGCCGUAAACGAUGUCGAUUUGGAGGUUGUGCCCUUGAGGCGUGGCUUCCGGAGCUAACGCGUUAAAUCGACCGCCUGGGGAGUACGGCCGCAAGGUUAAAACUCAAAUGAAUUGACGGGGGCCCGCACAAGCGGUGGAGCAUGUGGUUUAAUUCGAUGCAACGCGAAGAACCUUACCUACUCUUGACAUCCACGGAACUUGCCAGAGAUGGCUUAGUGCCUUCGGGAACCGUGAGACAGGUGCUGCAUGGCUGUCGUCAGCUCGUGUUGUGAAAUGUUGGGUUAAGUCCCGCAACGAGCGCAACCCUUAUCCUUUGUUGCCAGCACGUAAUGGUGGGAACUCAAAGGAGACUGCCGGUGAUAAACCGGAGGAAGGUGGGGAUGACGUCAAGUCAUCAUGGCCCUUACGAGUAGGGCUACACACGUGCUACAAUGGCGUAUACAAAGAGAAGCGACCUCGCGAGAGUCAGCGGACCUCAUAAAGUACGUCGUAGUCCGGAUUGGAGUCUGCAACUCGACUCCAUGAAGUCGGAAUCGCUAGUAAUCGUAGAUCAGAAUGCUACGGUGAAUACGUUCCCGGGCCUUGUACACACCGCCC